rnacentral:rRNA from 1 species
GACGAACGCUGGCGGCGUGCUUAACACAUGCAAGUCGAACGGAAAGGCCCUGCUUUUGUGGGGUGCUCGAGUGGCGAACGGGUGAGUAACACGUGAGUAACCUGCCCUUGACCUUGGGAAAACUUCAGGAAACUGGGGCUAAUACCGGAUAGGAGCUCCUGCUGCAUGGUGGGGGUUGGAAAGUUUCGGCGGUUGGGGAUGGACUCGCGGCUUAUCAGCUUGUUGGUGGGGUAGUGGCUUACCAAGGCUUUGACGGGUAGCCGGCCUGAGAGGGUGACCGGCGACAUUGGGACUGAGAUACGGCCCAGACUCCUACGGGAGGCAGCAGUGGGGAAUAUUGCACAAUGGGCGGAAGCCUGAUGCAGCAACGCCGCGUGCGGGAUGACGGCCUUCGGGUUGUAAACCGCUUUCGCCUGUGACGAAGCGUGAGUGACGGUAAUGGGUAAAGAAGCACCGGCUAACUACGUG